UUUACUGGGCUAGUUGAGCUCACCCUUUUCCUUUUUGUUCCAUUUUUCUUCUCAGGAGACGAGAAUGUAGCGAGUACUAGUCGGGGUAUGGAAUGAAGGUUCUAGAGAGAGUUGUUUAAUAGUCCUCACCAUUUUUGUAAAAUAAUGUAUCAAUAAUUAUGAUGGGGAUUUAUUUGGGUAUGUAUAUUGUCUAGAAGACAAUAAUUGUAUUUAAAC
rnacentral:lncRNA from 1 species